UACGGGAGGGGCAAGCGUUGUUCGGAAUUACUGGGCGUAAAGGGCUCGUAGGCGGCCAACUAAGUCGGACGUGAAAUCCCCAGGCUCAACCUGGGAACUGCGUCCGAUACUGGAUGGCUUGAAUCCGGGAGAGGGAUGCAGAAUUCCAGGUGUAGCGGUGAAAUGCGUAGAUAUCUGGAGGAAUACCGGUGGCGAAGGCGGCAUCCUGGACCGGCACUGACGCUGAGGCGCGAAAGCUAGGGGAGCAAACGGG
rnacentral:rRNA from 1 species